rnacentral:rRNA from 1 species
GACGAACCGUCCAAACGUUAUUCGGAAUCACUGGGCUUACAGAGUUCGUAGGCGGUCUGGAAAGUUGGGUGUGAAAUCCCUCGGCUCAACCGAGGAACUGCGCUCAAAACUACCCGACUCGAGGGAGAUAGAGGAAAGCGGAACUGAUGGUGGAGCGGUGAAAUGCGUUGAUAUCAUCAGGAACACCGGUGGCGAAGGCGCUUUCUGGACCAUAGCUGACGCUGAGACACGAAAAGCGUGGGUAGCAAACAGG